rfam:Picea glauca, whole genome shotgun sequence.
GCUUUCAUAGCUCAGUUGGUUAGAGCACCCGUUUGGUAAGCGGGAGGUCAUGAGUUCUUGAGUUCAACUCUCAUUGAAAGCA